UACCCGCUGAACUUAAGCAUAUCAAUAAGCGGAGGAAAAGAAACUAACAAGGAUUCCCCUAGUAACGGCGAGUGAAGCGGGAAAAGCUCAAAUUUGUAAUCUGGCGCCUUCGGCGUCCGAGUUGUAAUCUCGAGAAGUAUUUUCCGCGCUGGACCGCACAUAAGUCUGUUGGAACACAGCGUCAUAGUGGUGAGAACCCCGUAUAUGGUGCGGAUGCCCAGUGCUUUGUGAUAUACUUUCGAAGAGUCGAGUUGUUUGGGAAUGCAGCUCAAAUUGGGUGGUAAAUUCCAUCUAAAGCUAAAUAUUGGCGAGAGACCGAUAGCGAACAAGUACCGUGAGGGAAAGAUGAAAAGCACUUUGGAAAGAGAGUUAACAGUACGUGAAAUUGUUGGAAGGGAAACGCUUGAAGUCAGACUUGCAUUUUGGAGUUCAGCCGCAAGGUGUAUUCUUCAAUUCGCAGGCCAGCAUCAGUUUUCGGGGGUGGAAAAUCGCGGUUUGAAGGUAGCAGUUUCGGCUGUGUUAUAGCUUUCCGCUGGAUUCACUUUUGGGGACUGAGGAACGCAGUACGCUUUUUGCAAGAUUCUAGAGUCUUUCGUACUUAGGAUGCUGGUGGAAUGGCUUUAAACGACCCGUCUUGAAACACGGACCA
rnacentral:rRNA from 1 species